CGGACAGUGGCGUCUGGGUGCCUGGGCGAGGGGUGGAGCUUGGAGGUGAUCUGGAGCAGCCAGCGGGCUAACACUUGUACCCAUCCGACUCGGGGAUCUCCACAGCAGGCCACACUUGAGGAAAGGGGGCAGUGACAUCAACUGGGGUCAGAGCCUAGUGAGGUCGAGCUUUACAACAUUGCUUCUGGUUUUUUGAGAGAGAUGUUGCCAGACAAAGAAAGUAUCCUGAGAACAACAGCUAGGAUGUGGCAGAAAACAAAAGAGUAGGAGGUGAAGAAUGCGGACAGCUACACAUGAAUGGAUCACUCUCCUGAAGGAACAGCAUCGUGAAUCUGAAGAGAAGCAGUGCAGGACAAGCAGUGCUGGG